rnacentral:rRNA from 1 species
GAUGAACGCUGGCGGCGUGCUUAACACAUGCAAGUCGAACGGAAAGGCUCCUGCUUGCAGGGGUACUCGAGUGGCGAACGGGUGAGUAACACGUGGGUGAUCUGCCCUGCACUUCGGGAUAAGCCUGGGAAACUGGGUCUAAUACCGGAUAGGACGAUGGUUUGGAUGCCAUUGUGGAAAGUUUUUCGGUGUGGGAUGAGCUCGCGGCCUAUCAGCUUGUUGGUGGGGUAAUGGCCUACCAAGGCGUCGACGGGUAGCCGGCCUGAGAGGGUGUACGGCCACAUUGGGACUGGGUUACGGCCCAACCCCCCACGGGGGGCAGGGGGGGGAAAUUUUGCACAAGGGGGGCAGCCCUGAUGCACGGCCGCCGGGGGGGGGAGGCCGGCCUUCGGGUGGAAACCCCCUUCCGCUGGGGACGAAGCGCAAGGGACGGUCCUGGGAAAAGAAGCACCGGCAACCUCCGU